GCUGCUGCUGGGAUCUGAUAAAGAGAUGUUUUUUUCCUCUGCAGGAAAUAAAAGCAGCUCUGGAUGUGGACUUCAGCAGUGUUAGAUUUGGUGCUACUCAACAUCAGAGCCUCUGGAAGAGUCUACCCUUGACAUACCAAAGUGAGUUUCUCUCAGCAAAAUCAGAUUGCAAAACUCACCAUGGAGUACAAGAGAAAAAGACCCCAGAGCCUGAUGAGAACUUACUGACAACACAAGCUCCACAGAAGGCUUGCUCUCAGCCUUUCCCAGCAGAAUUUGAUUCCUGGUCUCAGAUCCUGUCUCUGGUGUGCCCUGCCAAUGAUAACAUCUGACUCCUCUGACGCAUGCCCUGUGGCUCCACUUGGCACUCCAGAUCACCAGCAUGCCUGCUGGAGACAGACAUGAGCUCAUCCUCCUCUUCUGCAUGCACAGUGAGUUUCUAAUAGCCACAGACCAGACCGCCUCAUGUUCCACCAAGAUGACUCUCACUGACAUCCAGGUAACUGCUCUGCACUAGCAGGGGUCUGGAGUGCAGACUGAAGUCUGCAGGAUCCUGGAUGUUCCUUAAACCACCACCAGCUACAUUUGCUCUGAAUGUUAUUUUCCACAGAGUGCUUCAGUUUGUGAGUUUUGAUCCUAUCUUCUACUGCUGUCAGACAAGGAGUGCUCCUUUAGGAGCCCAAUCACAACAGCUGAUUCUGCACACUGCUGCCAGAGCCUUCAGAGGCUGUUGGAGAGGCCUCCACGCAGCCGUGACACAGAUAACCUGAUGCUGAAAUGGAGGAGACAUGGAUUUGACAGAUGUUCAUGCAACACUUUGCUUGAAUCAAUACAGUCUACUGGUCCAAAGUCAACUUUCUACAUGGCAAACAAACUGAGUUAUGUGUUGAUACCUACUCCGUGGGACUGUGGGCCUAAGAAGGAGGGAAGCUUUAUGUACAUUAGUUUGGAAUAAAGAACAAAAUUUUGGCUUUUCUCCUCUUGAGCAGUUGAGUCAAUCGAUGUGCUCCUAACUGCUGCCCAGAGGAGAAGA